CUCAGCAGCGGCAAUAACCAAACUUGGGUCUUCCGUAUCAUCAUCCAAGAGAUCGAAUAGGUUCUGGGUUGCCAUUGGUUAAGUCAAAGAAAAUGACGCCUUUUCUUUUUUAAAUUUUUUCCCUUUUUGUCCCCCUUUUUAAAGUUUGAAAAGAAAA